GUGAGGAAUUUUGCGCAAUGGGGGCAACCCUGACGCAGCGACGCCGCGUGGAGGACGAAGUCUUUCGGGAUGUAAACUCCUGUCAGUGGGGACGAUAAUGACGGUACCCACAGAGGAAGCACCGGCUAACUCCGUGCCAGCAGCCGCGGUAAGACGGAGGGUGCAAGCGUUGUUCGGAAUUACUGGGCGUAAAGCGUAUGUAGGCGGCAAGUUAAGUUCAAUGUUAAAGCCCACGGCUCAACCGAGGAGAUGCAUUGAAUACUGGCUAGCUAGAGGGUGUUAGAGGAAGACGGAAUUCCCAGUGUAGCGGUGAAAUGCGUAGAUAUUGGGAGGAACAUCGGUAGCGAAAGCGGUCUUCUGGGACAUACCUGACGCUGAGGUACGUAAGCGUGGGGAGCAAACGGGAUUAGAAACCCGUGUAGUCC
rnacentral:rRNA from 1 species